GAUCAUAGCUCAGUAGUAGAGCAUCUGCUUUACAUGCAGAAGGUCCCAGGUUCAGUUCCUAUCGUCUGCA